rnacentral:rRNA from 1 species
AACGAACGCUGGCGGCAGGCUUAACACAUGCAAGUCGAACGCCCCGCAAGGGGAGUGGCAGACGGGUGAGUAACGCGUGGGAACGUACCCUUUACUACGGAAUAACUCAGGGAAACUUGUGCUAAUACCGUAUGUGCCCUUCGGGGGAAAGAUUUAUCGGUAAAGGAUCGGCCCGCGUUGGAUUAGCUAGUUGGUGGGGUAAAGGCCUACCAAGGCGACGAUCCAUAGCUGGUCUGAGAGGAUGAUCAGCCACAUUGGGACUGAGACACGGCCCAAACUCCUACGGGAGGCAGCAGUGGGGAAUAUUGGACAAUGGGCGCAAGCCUGAUCCAGCCAUGCCGCGUGAGUGAUGAAGGCCCUAGGGUUGUAAAGCUCUUUCACCGGUGAAGAUAAUGACGGUAACCGGAGAAGAAGCCCCGGCUAACUUCGUG